rnacentral:rRNA from 1 species
CGAGGUAGAUGAAGAGGUCUGGAAAGGCCCGCCAUAGGAGGUAACAGCCCUGUAGUCAAAACUUCGUUCUCUCCUGAGUGGAUCCUGAGUACGGCGGAACACGUGAAAUUCCGUCGGAAUCCGGGAGGACCAUCUCCCAAGGCUAAAUACUCCCUAGUGACCGAUAGUGAACCAGUACCGUGAGGGAAAGGUGAAAAGCACCCCGGAAGGGGAGUGAAAGAGAUCCUGAAACCGUGUGCCUACAAGUAGUCAGAGCCCGUUAACGGGUGAUGGCGUGCCUUUUGUAGAAUGAACCGGCGAGUUACGAUCUCGUGCAAGGUUAAGCAGAAGAUGCGGAGCCGCAGCGAAAGCGAGUCUGAAUAGGGCGCAUGAGUACGUGGUCGUAGACCCGAAACCAGGUGAUCUACCCAUGUCCAGGGUGAAGUUCAGGUAACACUGAAUGGAGGCCCGAACCCACGCACGUUGAAAAGUGCGGGGAUGAGGUGUGGGUAGGGGUGAAAUGCCAAUCGAACCUGGAGAUAGCUG